AGUCAAGAAUCCCAGCUGCAUUUUUUAUUAUUUUAUUUAUUUUUUUAAAUUUUUUAUUUAUUUUUUCCUACUGGGUCAGGGGGGAAUUUCUCAGGCCAGCCAUCUGCUUCUGCCUGGACUGAGUUGAGGUGCAGGGUUCUCGUAAAUGGAAGCACACCAGAGACGUCACUGUUUUCCCUUCGGCUAGUCACAGACGGAUUUUGCUGACGCCUGGGUUCAGGAGGGGUGGCAGAGCAUGCCCGAGGCCUCCAGACCAGCUGACAUGGUGCAAAUGGCUCCGUGGGGACAGGAAAGCUCUCCUGCACCCAGCUGUGCAGCCUGCAGUGUGACCCCCCCGCCGGGCAGCAACUCCUUGCCAAGCCGAUUCCUGUCUGGCUCCACCGAUGGGACCGGGGUCCCCUGGGACCUACCCACCAAGGUGUUACCCAAGACCUUGAAUUGAGGCCACCAGACCUUCAUGUCUGCUGGCAGAGGUAAAAAUAAAAUUAAAAAAAAAAUAAAACAAACAAAAAAAAACAAACUAAUUUUGAGGUCAGAUGCUGGAGCUGGGAGGAGGUGGGCGGAUGGCAGUCCCUCAUGUGGCUCUCCUCAUGUUUCUCAUGUUCGCGGUGCUCCUGGGAAAUGCACAACUAUGUUCUCCUGAUGAAGGACAUACUGUGCUGGCAGCACAGUAAAGGACUAGAUGGACCUUUGGGGCUAAAACAACCAUUUCUAUGUCCUCAUUUAAAUUUCAUUGAUUUUUCUAAAGAGUUAUGUCUCCCUUGAUGGUCUCAAAAUAAAACCUCUUGCCCUGACCGGCACAACAGCCUCACAA